rnacentral:rRNA from 1 species
UGGGGAAUAUUGCGCAAUGGGCGAAAGCCUGACGCAGCGACGCCGCGUGGGGGAUGACGGCCUUCGGUUGUAACCUCUUUCUAGCAGGGACGAAGCGAGAGUGACGGUACCUGCAGAAGAAGCACCGGCCAACUACGUGCCAGCAGCCGCGGUAAUACGUAGGGGGCGGAGCGUUGUCCGGAUUUAUUGGGCGUAAAGAGCUCGUAGGCGGUUUGGCAAGUCGGAUGUGAAAUCUCCAGGCUCAACCUGGAGGGGUCAUUCGAAACUGCCAUGACUAGAGUUCGGUAGAGGAGUGUGGAAUUCCUGGUGGAGCGGUGAAAUGCGCAGAUAUCAGGAGGAACACCCGUAGCGAAGGCGGCACUCUGGGCCGAUACUGACGCUGAGGAGCGAAAGCGUGGGGAGCGAACAGGAUUAGAUACCCUGGUAGUCCACGCCGUAAACGUUGGGCACUAGGUGUGGGGUUCUAUCGACGGAGUUCCGUGCCGUAG